GUCAGGGAUAGCUCAGUUGGUAGAGCAGAGGACUGAAAAUCCUC
rnacentral:tRNA from 1 species